rnacentral:rRNA from 1 species
AGACCCGAAACCCGGUGAUCUAGCCAUGGGCAGGUUGAAGGUUGGGUAACACUAACUGGAGGACCGAACCGACUAAUGUUGAAAAAUUAGCGGAUGACUUGUGGCUGGGGGUGAAAGGCCAAUCAAACCGGGAGAUAGCUGGUUCUCCCCGAAAGCUAUUUAGGUAGCGCCUCGUGAAUUCAUCUCCGGGGGUAGAGCACUGUUUCGGCAAGGGGGUCAUCCCGACUUACCAACCCGAUGCAAACUGCGAAUACCGGAGAAUGUUAUCACGGGAGACACACGGCGGGUGCUAACGUCCGUCGUGAAGAGGGAAACAACCCAGACCGCCAGCUAAGGUCCCAAAGUCAUGGUUAAGUGGGAAACGAUGUGGGAAGGCCCAGACAGCCAGGAUGUUGGCUUAGAAGCAGCCAUCAUUUAAAGAAAGCGUAAUAGCUCACUGGUCGAGUCGGCCUGCGCGGAAGAUGUAACGGGGCUAAACCAUGCACCGAAGCUGCGGCAGCGACACUGUGUGUUGUUGGGUAGGGGAGCGUUCUGUAAGCCUGUGAAGGUGUGCUGUGAGGCAUGCUGGAGGUAUCAGAAGUGCGAAUGCUGACAUAAGUAACGAUAAAGCGG